ACUAGCAGCGGUUAUUUCAACAGGGACUCGUUCACCAUAUACCACUUUAUAGUGAGCAUUCCUACGAAGAUACAAACGACGUCCAAGCCAAGGAUUCCAGACUAUAAAGCAGGAGUCUAAGCCUGCUCUCACGUUAGCAACAGCUUCGUAGCGAAGAUGAAUGAGAUUGUGUCGAGGAAUAUGCUUGAACGGGCCUUUUUCCAAUGAACUAAAGGACAUCACUUUGACAGUCCCUCCCAUGUCACCCAAGAUAAUGUAGCAGCCUUGAAGGAAAUCCCACGUUCUAUCCUAUGAAGGAAAGAGGAUUCAAGAUAUUUCAAAACAAGUAAAUAAGAAUAUCUGACAUUAAAACUCACUGGACGGACUUCUGGACAAAAUGCAAUUCUGCACACAGCACUGCGGUGAUGAGUUUUUUGCAGCUGUAUCUCACCGGUCAAUGGAAGCUCCAAUGUUUGCCGCUGAACUGUGGUGUCUGUUCGUUGAAAUUCCGAUAGCAAGUAGGUAAUGAACUCAUCCCACGUUGUAUAUCCAUCUCUUUUCAAAUUUAUCUAAUGAUAAAGUCUUUCUGUUACAAAAUACUUACACAAUAAUUGAUAUAUGAAAAAUAAUAGUUCAUCGUAUAGUGAAAUCAUUAGUCUAUUUGAUGCUGCAAUACCUUACUAAACAGUACCCUAAAUUCUUGAUCUGGAAUAUCGAUUUUCAUUAUCUCCGCAAAUGCUUCCUGAAGUUCUGAUUCGCUCAUUUCUUCGUCUUUGGAAACCUGUAAUAAGGCAACAUUUCUUUAUGCGAUCAUUGACAUGAUAUGACUGUCAAAAUUAUAACUACAAUUGAGAAAUUAUCUCAUUACUGACCAAGAAGGCUUUGUGCAAUCUCAUCAAAUCUUCUUCUGUACAUUGCUCCUCAAUGCUCUUUUGGCUGUAGAAUUCUUCAAAUUGCCUCAGAAUGCUAAAUAAGUAUUAUCAUAUAAAUUUGAAAGAGCAUCCAAUAUUGAAUG